CUUGGCUCUUUCUCUUUGUCUCGCACGGUCAUUUCUUCUUGACACACUUCGGUUUCUUUUUUUUUUCUUUUGCUUCCUAGUUUGGACACAAGGUUUAUUUGAAAAAGCGGGAUUGUUGAUCCCUACCUAUGUGUUCCAUUUCAUAUGUAUAUAUUUUCUAAUAUUUUUGUAAAACGACUGUUGUGCGAAAAGAUUGGGGUUUUGUGGCCUACCACAUAGUCGUGGGCCUCGUGGGGUUUUAGAUGACGAACUCCGCGUUGGUUUUCUGAGUCGUGGGGUUUUCGAUGACGAAUGGUGUUCUAUAUAAAUAAAGUUUAAUCAUUUAUGGAAUUUAUCAUGCGAGCUAGCCUUCCUCUUCCGCGUUUCUUCUUGGAGAUAUUAACGUCAAAUGGUGCAAUGCGAUUUUUUCCCCCAUUGCCAUUUGCCCCGCCUACGCCUUCCAUCUUUAUUUCCAUCUCCCGUAACUCCGUUCCCUUCCUUUCUUUUCACGCCACUGUGGUUUUACUAGUAGCUGAUCAUGGCGCUCGUUCCUU
rnacentral:lncRNA from 7 species